UACAGAGGGGGCAAGCGUUGUUCGGAAUUACUGGGCGUAAAGGGCGCGUAGGCGGCCUUCUAAGUCGAACGUGAAAUCCCUGGGCUCAACCCAGGAACUGCGUCCGAUACUGGAAGGCUUGAAUCCGGGAGAGGGAUGUGGAAUUCCAGGUGCAGCGGUGAAAUGCGUAGAUAUCUGAAGGAACAUCAGUGGCGAAAGCGACUUCCUGGACCAAUACUGACGCUCAUGUGCGAAAGCGUGGGGAGCAAACAGG
rnacentral:rRNA from 1 species